ensembl:snoRNA
CGGAUCGCUGAUGGCAUGGCCACUGGUGACGUAUGAGUCGCUUGCGAUGAAUCCGUGUCUGGAGCUCUGAGGUCCGA